UACGGAGGGAGCUAGCGUUGUUCGGAAUUACUGGGCGUAAAGCGCACGUAGGCGGCUUUGUAAGUUAGAGGUGAAAGCCCGGGGCUCAACUCCGGAACUGCCUUUAAGACUGCAUCGCUUGAAUCCAGGAGAGGUGAGUGGAAUUCCGAGUGUAGAGGUGAAAUUCGUAGAUAUUCGCAAGAACACCAGUGGCGAAGGCAGCCCCCCUGGGAUAACACUGACGCUCAUGCACGAAAGCGUGGGGAGCAAACAGG
rnacentral:rRNA from 1 species